UUGUUUUCAAGGGAGUAUAUAAACUAUGGUGAUCUUUUCAGUUCUCCAAUUUAUGCUAAGACGUUUAUUGGCUUAAUUAGUUGACAGAGAGCUGUUUGCACGAAUAUAGUUUAGUUGGGAUAUAAUUACGGAGAUCUUUAGAGGCCAGUGAUGCAACACUGUGGCGCCGCUGAGUUAAGAGCUCUCAAGUUCACCAUUCUAUAAAAUAUAAAUUGUUAAACACCUUAUGUCACUUUUGAGAUGGCAGUUUAAAAGAAAAAAAACAUUAAGAAAAUGAAUACAAUAUGUUUUCGAAUCUCUGUUACCUAGCCUCUGUUCCAAUGAACACGUUGUACUAGAAGAAUUGAUUGGAUAGGUCGAUCCUUUGUUAAUACAAAAAGUGAAAUCUCGCAUCUCGAUGUUCGUAGCACCAGUGUUGUCACUGAAAGUAUGUGAAUAAUAUAUAAAAAAAUAUAUAGAUAUAAGUUUUCCAGGUAAAUACCUGAAACCACAAAUGAUAAGUUUUCCAAGUAAAUACCUGAAACCACAAAUGAAGAGCCCCGUUCAGACAUCCGAAUCAACUGGCAGCGAGAGGAUCAGCCAUUGGGCUAACUAGUCGGAGGAACCGCCGCGCUGGAGCAAAGGUGGCUGCUGCGUGUGUCGACGUCAAGGACACAAUUUAUUCAAAAAUGCCCAGGUGCAUAGGUAUUGAUGGUUAGCUGUGUUGCUGUGCUUCCACCGCCAGCAAUAGGUGUUGCUGAUUAGCUAUGCUGAUGUGCUUCCACCACCACCUUACUCUCCAACACCAACAAAUAUUCAUAUUGAGUUGUCCAUCAGUAUUAAGCAUUUCACUUUGCCACUCUGCUGCCCUGAAUUCUGAAGCUGGCCAACAGCUUGCCUGGUUGGUCUGUCCCACUCACUGGUGCUUAAGCUUUGUACAUAGCACCCCAAUGGCACAGACACUGGCUUGACCAGUAUGGAGUGGUGGAUGUUGGUGAAUAAGUUCAGGUUUUUAUGAUGUUCUUUAUUUUUUAUAAAAUACUCAUUUACUACAAAAUAUUUCUGGACAACUUCAGCAUAUAAAAGUCAAGAAUUCAUAAAUAGUAUACCUAACUUGUACCAAUCACUAACAAUCAACCUGUAUUCUUUGUUUCUUCCUCAACAGGUUUCUGAAGUGGCAAGAAAGUGUAUGAAAUGAUGGUCUGCAUAGAUGUUUCACCCCACACCUACUCCAAUCUUCAGACACCAGCUGAUGCAGAGUACUUCCAAUGCAGUGUCUUACAGGAAGUACCUGUGGUCUAAGGAUUGGAGUAGGUGCAGGGUAGGGAACAAUCUUGGGAGUAGGUACAAAGUAUGGAAGUCUCAUUAUGAAUGGGCAGUGGUGAACUAAGUGAAGCAUGUCUACUUACUAACUUAACACCCAGUGCAUGUGAUACCCUCACCUGGCAGCCUGGAUCAGCCAAGACAUUUUGUACUUGUUUGAGAGUGAACAGUGGGCUUCCCAGUGCUGCCUGCAGAGGGGUCAAAUGGCCCAUCAGAGUUUAGGCUGCUGUCAGAGAGGGAGAUUGUCCCUUCUGGUGUUCUCUUGUGAUUGCAUUUCUCCACACAUCAUCAUGCAUUAUUACAUUCCAUUUCAAUUUUGUCUGGAUGUAAAAAGCUAACCUUCCAUAAAAGCAUGAUCACAAGAACACUAGAAGGGACAAUCUCCCUCUCUAAAAGCGGCCCAAGCACUGGUGGGCCACGUGACCACCUGCAGGCAGCGCUGGAAGCCUAUUGUUCCAAACAAGUACAAAAUGUCUUGGCUGAUGCAGGCUGCCACAUAAAGACUAUCUUGUACAAGCAAUUCACCUGCAACAGCACACACUAAGAGUGUUCCACAGAUUUAGCAACCACCUACGCAACUGGAUUUCAAGCCUGUCUGACACCAGUGUGGAAGAGUGCUGGUUGGGCGAAAGCAUUACGAACAUGAUAAUUUCCUUUUCCUGCUUAAGUCAUUAAGCAUGAGGAGGUUAUCAUGUUAGGAAUGCUCUCGCCCAACCAGUGCUCGUCCACACUGGUGUCAAACAGGACUGAAUGCCAAGAGUGUGGGUCAUUUCUAAACCUAAAGAUACCUAAAACUACAAAGUUCUCGUAAUGAUUAAGGAGCCAUCACGAGCAAUACUAGCUGCAAUGGCUGAGCAAUCUCCUUCAUGAUCUUUAAAGUGAUGAGUCUUCCCUAAACCGAGUGUUUUAUAAGCCAAACGGAAGUGUGACCCAGCUCCUGGUGGGAACAUGCUAAUGGGUAUUUUCCUACGUGCUUUCACUUCUUCAAGCUGGAGAAGUCGAAGCUCAUUUGAUUUGACAAUCUCUCUCUCUGUCUGGGAUUUACCUUGGCUAGUGCAUGAUGUACAGUGAGUGAUCUGACACCUUUUAAAACACAGCUGACAGACUGACUGCUUCUCCUCUGGACAUUUAUGACACAGCAGACUGGUAGGCUUCUCCUCUGGACAUUUAUGACACAGCAGACUGGUAGACGGUUUCUGUUUCUCCGCUGGACAAGACACAAGACAUGCAGAAUGUGUCUUCUCUGAACAACUUUCAGAAUCUGAUAGACCGAUAGACUGUGUCCCCUCUUGAUAUCUUUUACAAGACACAGGAAAGUGUGUCACCUCUGAACAUUUUGCAAGAGGUGUUAUGGAGUCAGAUUUUGUUUUCAGAGUACUUGUACAAGACAUUAGAGGGUCAUCAUGUUUUGUGUUGUCACCUUCAGAACCAGCAGGAGAUGAUAAAUAAUCAGAUUUUGUGUUCUUUGGAAAACUUGCAGUAGAUGUGAGACAGUCAGAUGAUAAGUCCUCUUGAGAAGUUCCAUUAGGUACUACACCAUCAGGUUUUGCCUCCUCUAGAGAGUUUGCAUUAGACCUUAGGUUGUGAGAAUGUCCGUCCAUGUGGGAGACUGAAGAAGACAUUGCACAGCAGGAGCUUUUAUCCACUGGUGAACUUGCUGGAGACAUCACACAGUUGGUUU